rnacentral:rRNA from 1 species
CUACGGGAGGCAGCAGUGAGGAAUAUUGGUCAAUGGACGCAAGUCUGAACCAGCCAUGCCGCGUGCAGGAUGACGGUCCUAUGGAUUGUAAACUGCUUUUGUACAGGAAGAAACACUCCCUCGUGAGGGAGCUUGACGGUACUGUAAGAAUAAGGAUCGGCUAACUCCGUGCCAGCAGCCGCGGUAAUACGGAGGAUCCAAGCGUUAUCCGGAAUCAUUGGGUUUAAAGGGUCCGUAGGCGGUUUUAUAAGUCAGUGGUGAAAUCUGGUCGCUCAACGAUCAAACGGCCAUUGAUACUGUAGAACUUGAAUUAUUAGGAAGUAACUAGAAUAUGUAGUGUAGCGGUGAAAUGCUUAGAGAUUACAUGGAAUACCAAUUGCGAAGGCAGGUUACUACUAAUAUAUUGACGCUGAGGGACGAAAGCGUGGGGAGCGAACAGGAUUAGAAACCCUUGUAGUCC